AAUAGAUACCCCGGUAGUCCACGCCGUAAACGAUGAGUGCUAAGUGUUAGGGGGUUUCCGCCCCUUAGUGCUGCAGCUAACGCAUUAAGCACUCCGCCUGGGGAGUACGGUCGCAAGACUGAAACUCAAAGGAAUUGACGGGGGCCCGCACAAGCGGUGGAGCAUGUGGUUUAAUUCGAAGCAACGCGAAGAACCUUACCAGGUCUUGACAUCCCAUUGACCGCUAUGGAGACAUAGUUUUCCCUUCGGGGACAGUGGUGACAGGUGGUGCAUGGUUGUCGUCAGCUCGUGUCGUGAGAUGUUGGGUUAAGUCCCGCAACGAGCGCAACCCUUGUUCUUAAUUGCCAUCAUUUAGUUGGGCACUCUAAGGAGACUGCCGGUGACAAACCGGAGGAAGGUGGGGAUGACGUCAAAUCAUCAUGCCCCUUAUGACCUGGGCUACACACGUGCUACAAUGGACGGUACAAACGGUUGCCAACCCGCGAGGGGGAGCUAAUCCGAUAAAACCGUUCUCAGUUCGGAUUGUAGGCUGCAACUCGCCUACA
rnacentral:rRNA from 1 species